rnacentral:rRNA from 1 species
CUGGCUCAGGAUGAACGCUAGCUACAGGCUUAACACAUGCAAGUCGCGGGGCAGCAUGACUUUAGCUUGCUAAGGUGAUGGCGACCGGCGCACGGGUGAGUAACGCGUAUCCAACCUGCCCAUGUCUCGGGGAUAGCCCGCUGAAAGGCGGAUUAAUACCCGAUUCGGUCGUUUGACGGCAUCCGAUUACGACCAAAGGCUUUUGUCGGACAUGGAUGGGGAUGCGUCUGAUUAGGUAGUCGGCGGGGUAACGGCCCACCGAGCCUAUGAUCAGUAGGGGUUCUGAGAGGAAGGUCCCCCCACACUGGUACUGAGACACGGACCAGACUCCUACGGGAGGCAGCAGUGAGGAAUAUUGGUCAAUGGGCGCGAGCCUGAACCAGCCAAGUAGCGUGCAGGAUGAACCUGCCCUAUGGGUUGUAAACUGCUUUUAUGCGGGGAUAAUCUGCGCCACUUGUGGCGCACUGCAGGUACCGCAUGAAUAAGGACCGGCUAAUUCCGUGCCAGCCGCCGC